GUUUGAAUUGUGUGACUACCGAACUUUCAUUUUCAACCGACAAGAAGACAUCAAGAAGACAUCAAGAGAUUGCGGCUACUCGCUCCUGAAAGAUGUCUGUCAUCAUCGCGACUGUCGACAGUGUCGACUGACUCAGCUUGCUGCCUAGCAAACCUGUCCAGGGAUUCUUAGCUCCUGAAAGAUACUCAGACAAGGAUACUGGUGAUGAAGGCCCUUCAUCUUCACUUGCACAUCAGGGUGUGUCAAGUCAGCCACUCUCUGACAAUGACACUGACACUGAGAACCAUCCAGCAGUACCUGCAGGCCAUGCAGUGACACGUGGGGAUGGUG